AUUGAACGCUGGCGGCAGGCCUAAUACAUGCAAGUCGAGCGAGCGGCGGACGGGUGAGUAAUGUAUGGGGACUGCCCGAUAGCGGGGGAUAAAUACUGGAAACGGUUGCUAAUACCGCAUACUAUCGGAUAACCCAUAUGGGAUUAGCUAGUAGGUAAGGGAAAGUCUCACCGAGGCUACGAUCUCUAGCUGGUCUGAGAGUCUGAUCAGCAACACUGGGACUGAGACACGGCCCAGACUCCUACGGAGGCAGCAGUGGGGAAUAUUCCACAAUGGGCGAAAGCCUGAUGCAGCAAUGCCGCGUGUAUGAAGAAGGCUUUAGGGUUGUAAAGUACUUUCAGCGGGGAGGCGUUAACCAAAGAGGAAGCACCGGCUAACUCCGUGCCAGCAGCCGCGGUAAUUC
rnacentral:rRNA from 1 species